GAGCGGGACCUGCAGGGCCGGGACGAGCAGAGUGAGGAGAAGCAGCAGCAGCUGGUCAGACAGGUGCAGGAGAUGGAGGCAGAGCUGGAGGACGAGAGGAAGAGGCACUCCAUGGCAGUGGCCACCCGGAAGAAGCUGGAGAUUGACCUGGAGGCGCGCAUCGACUCGACCAACAAGAACCGGGAUGAAGCCAUCGAACAGCUGCGGAAGUGGCGGGCCUGGGGACCUGCCGUUUGCCCCAACGAACGCUCGGACGAGGAGGUGGAUGGCAAAGCGGAAGGAGCUGAGGCCAAACCUCCGAAUAAGCCUUUUCUCCUUCAGCCUGAGACAGAUGGACAGGCGGACACUGCAGCCUCCCCUUCCCAGACCCUGCCGCACACCUCCCCCGACCUUGGGACUGUUGUGAACGUGCCUCCCACCCCCAUCCCGUCUCCCUCCAGGCCCGAGGGUAGUUUACCUGCACAGUUGAUUCAGCAUGGUUAAAAAUCUGCCACCUGCACAGAUAUUCUUGAAAGCAGAAAAAAAGAUUUUGUUUUUUCUUUUAAUAAAUAAAAUUCUGAGGCUUUCUCA
rnacentral:lncRNA from 13 species